UAUUCUGGCAUACUCAGUUUUACUGUGGGACAGAGGGUACUUUCUGCCUUACUGAGAGGCACUUACAUGAGAAUAGGCAAAAAUCCUGGUAAUUAAUCACAUCAGCAGAUACCCUAGAAAGUAUGGUGCAGAGCUGGAAACUCCCAUCACCUUUAGGCCCGUAAAAAACAAAGAAACACAGGAGCAAAGGAGCAAUUUUUUUCAUGGUAGCCUACAGGUUUAAAGAUACAGAAUGAAGCUGAACACCUGAGAGAAUUAGUGGCCACACUCUACAGAGUGCAUUAGAAUACACUAGAAACUCUGCACCACACUCUCCCCAGGCUGUUUAACAUCUAAAACAAGAGAAAAAACAACAGAAUUGAAAAGAAGGAAAAGCGGAGAAAUGAAGAUUAGGUCUGGCACAGACCCAUUAUUCAUUUCCUUCUCCCCCUAUCAUUUAUCUUCACUUCUAGCCCCCAGUUGUUAUGUAAGGCUGCCCUGGCUUUCCAUCAGGGCACAGAUCUGCAAGCCCAGAUGAGAUAUUCAUGACUGCCACACUUGGAGUCUUCCCUCCAGCACAUGGAGGUUUAAAUUAGUUCUUUGGUUAUACCCUGCUGUUUCCAGUCUGUGUUCUCCUCCAAUCCCUACUUAUUCCUGUACUAGAACACACUCUCCAACCCACUGCUUUCAUAUAUAUUCUAUUAAUAAAUUAAAACCUUGCUAACUUUUCUUUCUGUUAACUGCAUAUCAGCCUUGCUGCCUCAUUUUCCAGACCUCCAACCUUUUUUUCUGGUUUUGCUUCCCUGCUGUGUCUCUAAUUUUUCCAGGUCAGAAACCUUGCAUUACUCUUUAUUAGGAAGCAUUUUUUCCAAGUCCCAAAUGGUAAGAAACUGCCUCACCCUCUUUACUUUUCAGUGAGAAUUAUGAAUUACCUUUUUAUUUCUCAACUUCUCCCUUUAAAUCCAUCCUGACAGCCUGUACAUCAUAAAUGAUGUUUUAGCCCAGACUCCUCCAGUAACUAUUCACAAAUACUUUUUUUUUUUUAUGAAGAAGGGAGAAAAAUCUUUUGUGGGUCACUUCCUCCUGCAGUACAGGCAGGUACUCUAGUAAGUGAGCAUGCUAAUAAGAACAUACCAUGGGCACAUAGGGGAGCAUGCAAAAGCUCUGACAAAGAGCUGCAUAGCAGUGGUCUCUUUGCAGCCGAUUGUGGCAGCUGACUGACUAUCUGUGUUUAUUAUGCAUCGAAGUUACAGCUUAUACAUUGGCGAAUAAAAUCUUAGUGUGGGAUCAGAAAACACACUGCUGAACAAAGCUGAUUUGUAACAGCUCUUGGACACAUACUUAAUAUUUGAGCAUAUGCUGUAACAUUUCUGCCUCACACUAGAAUGCACUUUUUUUUUUUUCCAUUCAUCUCGCUGUUCUGAAUAAAGUGGGUUAACUCUGGAGGCAGAUGGGAGCUCAGCCAAUGCUGCCUGAUUACCAGACUGAUACAACAGGCAUUCCUGUACGGGAAUAAAAUAGUAAAAGUCAAUUUUGAGGAACUCUGGCAAA